AGCCAAUCAAAUGUGAUUUUCAGCUAACUUCCCAGCAUUCCUCAGGGCAGAAAAUUGUUCCUUGAAUUCUGUGAUGAUGGUCAGUGCCCAACAUGGCCAGGCUUAGCGGGAAAUCUUGUGUUCACAAAGUGCCUGAGUCAGUAUAUCUCAGUGUUUUAGAAAGUGAGACUGGAUGUGGUUUGCGGAGAGGAUGAUAUCCUAGGAUUAUCC